rnacentral:rRNA from 1 species
GUCCUGGCCGUAAACGAUGAGUACUAGCCAGGAGGGGCGUAGGCCCUUCCUGGCGGAGCGAAAGUGUUAAGUACUCCGCCUGGGGAGUAUGGUCGCAAGGCUGAAAACUCAAAAGGAAUUGACGGGGGCUCACACAAGCGGUGGAGCAUGUGGCUCAAUUCGAGGCAACGCGAAGAACCUUAUCCUAGGCUUGACAUGGUCGGAUUAGUCCGUGAAAGCGGAAAUGACGCCUUGGUGGAACGAUCACAGGUGCUGCAUGGCUGUCGU